UGUGGGUGACAUAGCAUAUAAAAACACAAGUAGUCCCCCACACAUCAUAUUAACAGUGAAUGCAAAAAUGGUGUGUGUCGCAGUGCAUAGUGGUUUCAGAUCAUCUCUGUGCUCAUUCAUUUUUUUAAAGGUUAUGUUAUUUUAAACAGUUAAACACAACAGAUUGUAUUUAGCUUGCCUUGCUUCAAACCGCUGUUCAAUACUGGGAAUGAUCUGUCUUGGUCUUGGUCCUUUUUUUCUUUGGAACUACAAUAUUUCCUGAGCUCCAGACAUGAAAAUAUUUCUACAUCUUUGCAACUAAAAAUCAGUCCAACUUCCAAAUUCUUUCAUUUUGUUGAUGGACCUCAUCCACAUGGAUGUUUUUAAGUCGUACGCCGGUCAUCCUUGCUUUCUCCUAGCUGCACCGGAGAAUGGUGACAGCACAUUUACUAAAGUUUCUAAGCAGCUAGGAGAAGUGCAGAGUACACCCAAGCGAUGGAGAUGCUAUGAGGGAACCUGCCAAACGUCUACGCAAGUGACCCUCCGCUGGAGUUUGUAUCUAAAUUCCCCAAGAACCCACAAGUAUUUAGAUUGGAGCAACAGCGUGAUUGUAAGGGAUGUACCGACAGCUCUGUGGCUGAAUUAAGUUCCUGCGUUAGCGACUAGUGAAUGCAUUAAGAUUACAAUUAAUUUUUUGAACUGUUGAUACAUAAGUGUGAGGCUUUUGUUAUCAUGNGAUUGUAAGGGAUGUACCGACAGCUCUGUGGCUGAAUUAAGUUCCUGCUUUAGCGACUAGUGAAUGCAUUAAGAUUACAAUUUUUUGAACUGUUGAUACAUAAGUGUGAGGCUUUUGUUAUCAUAUGAAGCCUAAGACAUGGGCUGUGAGAUGAACUGAAUCUGUCUUAGUUAACAACUGGCAUGUUUUUAAAGCCUUUUGAAGCACAGUACGAGAUUUAAGACAGCCCUCCGAUCAAAGAAUCGGGAUUAUAUAUUGGAAAUGAAAGUAGGCGUCUUUCUUGCCCCUUCUCUCCAGCAUUUUAGCCCAUUUAGUCUCUUUUCUCCCUGAGAGAAUAAUGUCAGAUAUUGCCUUGAGCCACCUGAAAUGAGUUUGAACACCACAAAGUCUUUCCUAGAAAAAACCAAAACCAAGAUGGACAAUGUGCAAACUGUGGAUCUGCCAGUGGGCGAGUAUUCUUUGAGAAAUGGCUGCCUGUGACUUUGUACUUUAAUACUGCCGAAAAGCCCCUUGUCAUGCAUCGAAAGGGCAUUUGAGGGAUUGUAAUGAGGAAGCUAUAAAUCAAAAAGUGACCAAGGAAGUAUUCUCGUUUCCUGUGUAUCUGACGACUGACACAGUUAAAUCUGACUUACUCCAUAAUGGCAAUAAGCUAGUUUCAGUCCUGAUGCAAGUUCUGCUACGCAAGUGUGAGCUGUGUGGCUCAAAGCUUGUCUCUCUCACCAGCAGAUAUUGUCCCAAUAAAAGAUAUUACCUCACCCA
rnacentral:lncRNA from 1 species